UGAAUGGACUUUGAAAAUUAGCCUCAACA
rnacentral:piRNA from 1 species